rnacentral:rRNA from 1 species
AGAGUUUGAUCCUGGCUCAGAACGAACGCUAGCGGGAUGCCUCAAACAUGCAAGUCGUACGAGAACGCUCUCUUCGGAGAGUUAUUAAAGUGGCGCACGGGUGCGUAACACGUAGCUAACGUACCCUCACGCUGGGGACAACCCCGGGAAACCGGGGCUAAUACCGAAUGAACUGUUAGAGUCUGCGGACUUUACCGGUAAAGCCUUCGGGCGCGUGAGGAUCGGGCUGCGGCCCAUUAGCUUGAUGGUGGGGUAACGGCCUACCAUGGCUACGAUGGGUAGCUGGUCUGAGAGGAUGAUCAGCCACACUGGAACUGGAACACGGUCCAGACUCCCACGGGAGGCAGCAGUUGGGAAUAUUGCACAAUGGGGGAAACCCUGAUGCAGCAAUCCCGCGUGAGUGAUGAAGGCCUUCGGGUCGUAAAGCUCUUUCAGCAGGGAAGAAGGGAAACUUGACGGUACCUGCAGAAGAAGCACCGGCUAACUACGUGCCAGCAGCCGCGGUAAUACGUAGGGUGCGAGCGUUGUUCGGAAUCAUUGGGCGUAAAGCGCGUGUAGGCGGCCAACUAAGUCUGGUGUGAAAGCCCGGGGCUUAACCCCGGAAGUGCACUGGAUACUGAUUGGCUAGAGGGUGAGAGAGGAAGGUGGAAUUCCUGGUGUAGGGGUGAAAUCCGUAGAUAUCAGGAGGAACAUCAGUGGCGAAGGCGGCCUUCUGGCUCACUACUGACGCUGAGACGCGAAAGCGUGGGGAGCAAACAGGAUUAGAUACCCUGGUAGUCCACGCCCUAAACGAUGGAUACUAGACGUCGGAAUUCCUAAUAGUUUCGGUGUCGA